GGCAGAAAGUGAAAGAAAAAUGUCUUUAUCUCUCGGUCUGAUACCACUGGGUUAUUACAGGAGCUGACUUCAUGAGAAGUGAAAAAUGUGGUCCUGGCUCCCAUCAGUCACUUCUGGCUUCUGAAGGGGAUGCGAGAUGUUUCCAACUAAGAACAAGAAAACAAACAGCAAGAGGAGCCAUGGGGGCAGGAAACAGCAUCCCCAUGCACCAAGUAUGGACUGCAUGCAGCUCCAUGAGCUGCGGAAGGAUGCUUACACCUCUGUGUGAGGUGCCAUGCACCCAAGCAGCGCAGCAACACUGCAGUGCUUGCACCUCCCUGCAGUAUUUCUGCCCUAAGUAGGGUCUGUGCUGACAAGUGACAGCUCGCACACAUCCUGCAAAAGGCCCCUGAGGUUGUUUUCUAGAUCAUUUCCUCACCAGGGUGGGGCUGGUUAAAAGGGUGGGAAUGAUAAUUUCACACUUGAAGCUAAUGGAGAGCAUCUGACAGUAAAAUACAGCUUUUGUGCUGGAUGGAGUAUUGAAUAAACAGGCUGAGGCUGCAUGGGAUGUCUUGCAAUGCUGAGCUCAGAGCUGUGCUCAGUUUCAAAGCUCCAAAAUGGGAAUGCUUCUUCGCAGCAGGGGCAGGGAUCUUCAUCCACUCUCCUAGGAAGGAUUGGUUUGUAUUUACCCAGUCUGAGCCAGGGAGCGUUGCUCAGAGUGGGAGCAUCUCAGGAAGGAUGUCCGUGCUGUGCAACUUCACAAGUACCACACACAGGCUGUUCUCCCGCUAUAAUUAAGGGACAGCAGCAGAGCAAUAGGGGAAUUCGAAUUCAGGUCAGGAGUGUGACUGCUGGGCUCUGCCGAGCUGCUGUCUCAUCCUACUGAGCAAGGAGUCUCCUGUGGGCAGCUUGGCAGCACAGAUUGCUCUCUCUGGGUCCAUAAAACAGCAGUAAUUGGGGCAUGCAGUGUCAAGAAGGGCACCACAGGAGUCCUGCAGCCCAUCCCAGCACCCAUCAGGAGGCAAUGCUCUUCUUAGAAGAAUACAAUCAUUAAGGUUGGAGAAGACUGAAGAUCACCAAGUCCAGCCCCACCCUAGCACAGCUCUCAGUGCCACAUCUUCAAGGUUAAGGAACAGCUCCACGGACAGUGACUGCAUCGCUCCAUGAGAG